rnacentral:lncRNA from 1 species
AGCCGAUUUCCAGUUUAAGGUCAAACCGGAGAACGGAGCUUAUAGUUCCUGUAUACUUGAUGCAUUAGUUCCAGAUAUUAAUGACAUCAAAUGCAAAGGAGAUCAGCAUUUAUUAAGCAAGAGGGAAUGCAAUGGAAGGAUUUAAAUAAAAUCUCACUUCUAAGCGCGGCCGCUUGAUGAACCUCUGCUGCGGCUGUGAAUCCAGUUGCUCUGAAAGAUGAAGGAAGAACUCCAGUGAGUUUGAGUUUGCAUAGGAGCGCAUGUGCAUGGACCUCCGAGAGGCAAGAUGCCCAUGACCUGUGCCAAGAUGAUGCCAUGAUAAUGGUACUCGGAAGGCAGCUGCAUUCGGUUCCUGUGACUGGAAUUGAAUCAAAUGCAUAAUGGCGAAGUGAUAGGAAUCAUUGAACAAGAAUAAUCCUGGCAUUGAAUGUCUGAUGAAUUCAAUAAAAUAAUAAAAAAAAAUAACUGGAUAACUUUUGAGUCUGCUAUUAAUAUU